rnacentral:misc_RNA from 1 species
CUUCCUUCCUCUUUUCUUUGCUUUUUACAUUGCGUUAAGACCGGCUAAAUAAUAUUGAUUGCCAUGGACGUUGGCUGGUUUAAAAUCACUGGCAUCGACGAUAACAAAAAAUACAUCCAUAAAUAAUUAAUCGCUAUUAAUGUUCCAUCGACUUUUGAAAAUCCCUGAUGUGAUCUAUUUCACUUAAUGAGAAACGUGUAAAGUGAGGUUAUUGCUUGAUUAUCUUUAGUCGAAUAAAUCGAGUGAUUCAAAUUAUAAUGCGGAAGAAAGUCA